UUAUAAAAACUUAUAUUGUCAGAUGCAGAAAUUGGCUUCUGAAAUGAAAGUGGGGCAGAAGAGAAAAAGACCCAACAUCAAGCUGGAACCAGGAACUGUGAGUGGCACUGUAAAUGUUCCAGUUCCUGUUCGAUAUCUCAGCAGAGUCAAACACUAUAUAAACACCCUAGAACUGCUGGAGAUCUGCAGGCAAGUCCAUCCAAGCAUUCUUUCAUUUCCAGAGGAAGAACAUUAUCAUUAGAAAUAACUUCACUCUUGGCAAGGCACUACUUUAAGUAACAGCUUUAGUGAUGCACCUUUAAUUUUUUUUUUGUUUAUAGUGGCAUUGGUAAGAUUAUUUUUUAUUCUACUUUAGCCUGGCUGGCUAAUAAUUGUAACUUUCUUUUAUAUUUGAAAUCACUUACAUACUGAAUAUGUAUUAUAUAAUGCAUGUACUGAAUAUGUAUUAUAUAAUGCAUGUUACCUACGAGCUAGGCAUUUUUUUCUAUAAAAUCUCCAUUUUUGUUUUACAUUUAAAACUAAUUUAUAGUGUAUGUAACAUUUAUUAAGUUACUGAUUCAUUUAAAGUACUGCAAGCCCUCACAUUUUUGCUAUUCUUAUAAUAAAAUAUAAUUCUGAGAGCUAUUUGCAUACUCUAUAAAACAGUUUGAGAGUAUCUAGGUCUUAGUUUUGUUACAGUGCCUCCUGCCUCUUUUUAUUGAGUCACAAUCAUAAUCUGAUCGACCCUUAUGGGAACUUGUCCGGUGCUGGUGCACCGGACAAGUUACCGUAAGAAAGGAGCACUGCUGGAGGCCUCCUGGCCCAAGCUAAGCAGGUCCCAGGUCCAACUCUCACCCACCCAUGUACUUGUCUAACUUAUUUUUAAAGCUAUACAAAGUUUCAGUGACGCUACUCACGAUUUUGUUCCACUCGUCCACAACUCUGCUAACCUAAUGUUUUCCUAUAUUCUUUCUAAAUCUAAAUUUUUCCAACAUUAACCUAUUGUAGAGAGUCCUGUGUUGGCUAAAUAUUUUUAGUACUAUAAUGGUAUCCCCUUUAUUCCUGUAUUUCAUUUAUGCACCUCAGUCGUAUCCCCACUAAUUCUGUGCUUUUCUAGAGAGUGGAGGUUCAGUGGGAGAAACGUCCGUCUCUCACUCGGCAGACGGAGGAUUGAGCCUCCACCAUAUCUUGCACUGAAUGAUUCAAAUGGGUUUAGUGCUUAACAUGAAUUAAACAACCUCCCACUUAUCCCUCAAAACAGUUCAGGACAGGCAUGACCACUUGUGACACUGACCUUGGAGAACUGUGAAGUUAUUUACUUAAUACUAUACACAAAACUGAGCCCAAAUUAAGAACUGUAUAGGAAUAGAACUAAAAUGUUAAUUUUUCUUUUAAAAAAAUCUGUACUCUCCUAAUUGUGAUUGCAGGGGUCGAGACUCGGCUCCUGGCCCUGCCUUUUCACUGAUUGCUACUAGGUCCUCUCUCUCUGCUUCCUGAGCUUUGUCAUACCUUGUCUUAAAGCUAUGUAUGGUUUCUGCCUCCACUACAUCACUUUCUAGGCUAUUCCACUUCCUGAC